rnacentral:rRNA from 1 species
GACGAAGGAUGCGAGCGUUAUCCGGAUUCAUUGGGUUUAAAGGGUGCGUAGGCGGCCUAAUAAGUCAGUGGUGAAAUCUCCUCGCUUAACGAGGAAACUGCCAUUGAUACUGUUGGGCUUGAGUACAGAUGCUGUGGGCGGAAUAUGACAUGUAGUGGUGAAAUACAUAGAGAUGUCAUAGAACACCGAUUGCGAAGGCAGCUCACAAAACUGUAACUGACGCUGAGGCACGAAAGUGCGGGGAUCAAACAGG